UUUCAAAAAUGAACUUCAAAUACAUUUUUCUAUUUGCCUUAGUUUUGGUAUUAAUUGUUGGACCUGGAGCAGAGGGUAAAAGUAUUUUUAAGAAAAUCGGAAAAGCCUUAGAAAAAGUUGGAAAGAAAGUUGGACAAGUCAUUCACAAGGCUGCUCCAGUUGCUAAAGAUGCAGCAGCUAUAGUUGGUGCGGGUGCAGCAAUAGGGGCAGUUGUCGGAAAGUAACUUCGAUGUUAGAUGAUGUCGGCUUUUAAAAUGUUUUUGAAUAAGUGAAUAAACGAUUUUACCAGAAAUAUCAAAUGAAUUUUGAUAAAAAAAAGUUUAUCCCGUUGAAGACAAUAAAGUCGUGGUUGUGAAAGAAGUAUUCGCUAAAUUUUCGAAACUGUCUCCAGGAUAUUUUGUGUUGAUCAGGAUUGUAUAAUAAAUAAUCAAUGGUGGCCAAUUUUAUCUAACCAUAUAGUUAAAAACUUUGGACCUAUAUACAGUGCAUAUUUUGAAAAAAUAUUUACACACGU